rnacentral:tRNA from 1 species
GCUAGUGUAGCUUAAAUAAAGCAUAACACUGAAGAUGUUAAGAUGAACCCU